rnacentral:tRNA from 1 species
GGAGACGUGUCAGAGUGGUCUAACGUACCUCUUUGCUAAAGAGGCAGGGGCUUCAUAACCCCUCGCGAGUUCGAAUCUCGCCGUCUCCG